rnacentral:rRNA from 1 species
ACAAGCAGCGGAGCAUGUGGUUUAAUCGAAGCAACGCGAAGAACCUUACCAGAUCUUGACAUCCAAUUGACCAUCUUUUAAUCGAGAUUUUGCCUUCGGGUACAAUUGAGACAGGUGGUGCAUGGUUGUCGUCAGCUCGUGUCGUGAGAUGUUGGGUUAAGUCCCGCAACGAGCGCAACCCUUGUGUUUAGUUGCAAACAGGUCAAGCUGUGCACUCUAGACAGACUGCCGUGGACAACACGGAGGAAGGUGGGGAUGACGUCAAAUCAUCAUGCCCCUUAUGAUCUGGGCUACACACGUGCUACAAUGGCCGGUACAGAGCGCAGCGAGGCCGCGAGGCGGAGCGAAUCGCUUAAAGCCGGUCCCAGUACGGAUUGGAGUCUGCAACCCGACUCCAUGAAGUUGGAAUCGCUAGUAAUCGCGCAUCAGCAUGGCGCGGUGAAUACGUUCCCGGGCCUU